rnacentral:lncRNA from 1 species
UUUUUUUUUUUUUAAAGUGAGUUUGUGAAUGCAAAUAUAAAGUAAACAAUAUAAAUAGCCAGUGAAAGAUGCUCCAUUUAAAGGGAAAUGAGCAUGCUUAAAAUAGCUGGGUUUUCAGGGCAUGUUGUAACUCAAAAAUAACUUUCAGAGUCACUACCACUGACCAUCUGCAAAACGGACAAAAGAUAGCUAACAGCUUAAACAUUUUCUAGAAUAAGUAAAUAAAGUAAAUAAAACCAACAAAACCCACAAAGCUGCACACAGAGGGAGUGAAACAAAAAUAUUAAAGCAUAGCAAAUGGGAAGCUGGAAUUUUGAAGAAACACAGAGAAACCUAAAACAGGAGACAGGGGGGAAAAAAAAAAAAAAAAAAAAACCAAAAAACCAACCCUGUGCUAUCAGAGCCAAAAAUCAGUGGAGGAAGAAAUCAGAAAUUUCAGUCAAGAAAAAACAUCCAAAACACUGUAUGAAGAAAUGCCUCAAAAAAGUACCAGCCCCACCAUUAAAAAAGUAAUGAGCUCAGACUGCUGAAAAACCCAAAACCAAGUCACGGGGCCAGACAACAUAACAAGACCUUUCCCACUCUAGCAAAUGCACAGCUUGUAUAAAUUGUCUUACAUCAAAAAAUGGUACAGGUCUGUUCCUACAGAUUUCAUGAAAGAAUGUCUUCCUUCCCUAGGAAUAACUAAACACAGGUUAAGUAUCUUGAAGUAGAAGCGCCACUCAUGCAAGUUGAACAGCUGUUUAACAUUGAGUUUUAAUAGAAAAGAAAGCAGAACAAAGACCAAAACCAUACUAAAAAAUAUUCAAUCCAGUUGUGUGAAACUGAAGAAGAAUUCAUACUGCAGUUUCCAUAUCUCUUAAGAUUAUUUUCAAUAGAGGAAGGAGAAAACCAACAUGCCAGUUGAAAAACUUUACUCACAAAAUAAGAGAAAAAAUACCCACAGGAACAGCUAAGGGCACAUCAGAGUUAUAUGCCACCAACAUUCUUGCAAAGCAAAUCAGAUUUUACUACCUUGAUUUCUGCACAGAGACAAAGAAUUCCCUUUAGCUGAUUGGCCUUUCUCUCUGGGGAAGAAAUUCAUUUCAAUGAAUACCAAUCCAUUUCAAAGGUUCUCAUUGUUUAAGGUUUUUUUGAGAACACAGAAGAUGUCUCUGUGAAAAAGCUUUGUAUCUCUUAUUUGAAAUCUUCAUGGAAAUUUGACACUGAAAACCUUGUAAUUGGUAUAAGGAGGCACUGGUUCUUCUGUAGUUAAGGUGAUGAUUUCCUUUAAAAGGCUUUAUUGACAAAUGUUUUUUACCAGUCUCAGUCAUCUCUGAGAUUCACCAGUGGAGAAUCUUGUGUAGGUGAGAAGAUUUUGGAGAGAAAACAUUUUGAUGGGGACACUGGUUAACUCUAUGCACUAAGACUCUACAGCGUGAGCUAAAACAGAGAUGCAGGUAACACGUCAGUGCUUAUCUCCCGUCCAUCCCAAAAUUAGGAAAUUUCACCAAGAGCAGGAAGAACUUGAAAGUUAUCACCACACUAACAUGAGGUGAAAUAGAGCAGUAUGAAGUCCUCAAGAUUUUGGGGAAGAAAAGGAUAGAUAAAGAAGGCAGUUGUCUCUACCGAAAAGACUCUCAGUGUACUAUCAUGCCUAUGAAGAUACUCACCCUUCUACAGGGAACAGGUCUUUGUAAGGAAUUUAUCAGCCUUUUAUUAAUCACUCAUUGGCAUGAGCAGCACUAUUACAGACCUUCUCCAGGCUGUAAUCCCAGAUAAACAAACCACACCCAGUAAAGCCAAGAUUUUCAAAAACAGAUGCAUAAAGCCCAUGACUGAGGACCCAAACAUAUCGCCUGAUUUUUAAAAGGGCUUAAAGUCCACUGGUAGGCAUUUAUAUAAAAGAGGACAUACUGGGUGUUCAGCCCUUCAUAAAUCUGAUCAGUGUUGGAUAUUCAGCUGACCCUAUAGGCUUGCGAUAGUUGAUACUCUCAUGCAAUGAUACGGUUGUCCUUUCUUGCUUCUGUAUCACAAUGCCAGAAAAGGUAGGUUGGAAUAACUCCAAAUGCACAAGUACAUUGUGGAGCCUGCAUCUGAACGUGCUGUUUAUGCUUGGAAACGCUCAGUGAACAGGCAAGCAACAGGGCAAUGCUGCCAGCUCAGACAAAACUAACUCAUCUUCCUUGGAAGUUUACCCCUGGUUUGUGCAUUUGAACAAGGGAAAAAGGAGUAUCAGGGACCCAUCAUGGCAGAUAAAGUUAUCAUGAUUACACAUAACAGCAGUCAUGAUGUUGUUACUUCUUCACAUACAGAUGGGAGAAGUGAAGGAAAGGUCCUCAACUUUCAGACACCACAGCCAGUAUUGCUAAUAGAGUACACUGUGGCACUUAGUUACAUUGAGACUGUCUGUGGAUGUUAUCAAUCCCAGCUAAAUUCUACAUGCCCAGUGGCAUCUGUGACAGUCAAGUGUGUAUGAACAGUUUGCUGGAAAUGGUCCCUGGACCUUUUGAGCUGCAAGCUGUGUCCAGGAACAGCUUGGGGGAAAAUGCUAGUUGGAGUGGGCCAAAUCUACGGCAAGGAAGGCUCUAACACUCUGACCACAAGCAUCCGCCCAGUAGCUAGGAAUGUUCCGCUUGAAUUUCAUAGCAUAGAUGCAGUUAUAGAGUCUGUCUAGACUGCUCUUGAGGCAGGUAACAGGAGAUGUACAAGGCCACAAAAGUGUAUACAGGCUCAGGAACAGUAAUGGAAGUACUUUUGGAGUCAGACAGAAUGGUAAUUCUUUUCCACCUUCAUCAGUAAUAAGAGAACCCUGCUCCAGAUACUUUAGUAGUCUCCCUGCACUGAAAAUUCAGGAACUUCUCUCUCCCUUCUAGCCCUGUCCUUAAUGAAUCUUCUUAUUACUCUUGAGAAAAAAAAUGUCUGGUGUUACAGCCAAUCGAAAAACUCUCCAGAGAGAAAUCUGUUUUGAUGAUAAUUUGUGGCACAGGAUCAUGCUGAACGUAUUAUCCACAACUAUCAAAGUACAAAGACAUCAUUAAAACUAGAAAUAACAGCAUAUUCAAAGUGAUCUCAUUUGCUGCUGAUAGAAAAUGUGUGUUUUAUGGAGUGAGAAAGCAGAGAGUAGCAGUGAUUAAAAAUAAAAAGGUUUUUAGCUUGUGAAAAUGGGCUUUGAUGUCUGGAAAAUCCUAGUUCCAUACUGAAAAAUGUUCCUUGCACUGAACUCAGAAACUAAUGCCCAGGCUAAACAGGGCCUGGCCUGAAGUAAAGCAUCUUUCAGGAUGCUUCAUCCACCCAGGACUACAGACAGUGCUCUCAGUUUUCUUCCUAGUACUAACAACUGUCAUGCAGACUUUCCUGAGCACACACUGGCAAAGGCAUGCCUGAGAGACAGAAAGAGAGAAAGAUCUCCACUGUUGACACAAGAAUGUCUCAUUUAUUAUUUGUAGGGAAAGAUUUGGACUCCCACACCAUUUCCAUAGCUCUUGAUAGAUAUUCCUCAAGAGAAUGAAAAGAGAAUGAAAUUUCCUGCUCAGGCUCUGUGCCUCUGUGAGAUAUGGUUUACUUUUUUCAAAGUCAGGUAAGAGAUUUGUUUGAGAUACAGAAUAGACGGGUCAAGCAGAUCUGUGAAGGUGAUUCGUGCAAGCACUUUUAAAUGCUAAUCUGAGUUGCAAAGAGAGAAAUAACUCUCACAAAUGCAUUUACUUCUGCUUGAAGUUUCUAAGUAGCAUGUUAGCCCUGUUGUUUUCUGAAUAUACAUACACACACAUGCACACACAUGCUUAACCCCAUCAUCACAGCCAUGUCAUCACAGCUGUGAGACGAACCAGACAGAUUUCAUUCUCUCUCAAUAUUUAUCAGCACUUCAAUUAUCUAAUUCCCAAUUACUUAGUUUUUAUGACUGAUAGUGAUAAGGCGGGCUCUCCAGCACCCUGCUUGAGUUUGCAGGGCUGACAGUAUAGCAGAAACUAUUCUUGCACUGUUGAAAAAAUCUGUGGCCCAGCCAUUGCUGGAGGAUUCCAGGUUUAAAGUCCCA